AAGUAGUUGAUGCCCUGCUUCCAGGAAAAUCCUCUAAGCUCCAGGUAACAUUAAAUCGUACCCCAAACCGACACAGGUGGUCAGGUAGAGAAUACCAAGGCGCUUGAGAGAACUCGGGUGAAGGAACUAGGCAAAAUGGUGCCGUAACUUCGGGAGAAGGCACGCUGGCAUGUAGGUGAAGUCCCUCGCGGAUGGAGCUGAAGCCAGUCGAAGAUACCAGCUGGCUGCAACUGUUUAAUAAAAACACAGCACUGUGCAAACACGAAAGUGGACGUAUACGGUGUGACGCCUGCCCGGUGCUGGAAGGUUAAUUGAUGGGGUCAGCCGCAAGGCGAAGCUCUUGAUCGAAGCCCCAGUAAACGGCGGCCGUAACUAUAACGGUCCUAAGGUAGCGAAAUUCCUUGUCGGGUAAGUUCCGACCUGCACGAAUGGCGUAAUGAUGGCCAGGCUGUCUCCACCCGAGACUCAGUGAAAUUGAACUCGCUGUGAAGAUGCAGUGUACCCGCGGCAAGACGGAAAGACCCCGUGAACCUUUACUAUAGCUUGACACUGAACAUUGAGCCUUGAUGUGUAGGAUAGGUGGGAGGCUUUGAAGCGUGGACGCCAGUCUGCGUGGAGCCAUCCUUGAAAUACCACCCUUUAAUGUUUGAUGUUCUAACUCGGCCCCAUAAUCUGGGGUGAGGACAGUGUCUGGUGGGUAGUUUGACUGGGGCGGUCUCCUCCCAAAGAGUAACGGAGGAGCACGAAGGUUAGCUAAUCACGGUCGGACAUCGUGAGGUUAGUGCAAAGGCAUAAGCUAGCUUGACUGCGAGAGUGACGGCUCGAGCAGGUACGAAAGUAGGUCUUAGUGAUCCGGUGGUUCUGAAUGGAAGGGCCAUCGCUCAACGGAUAAAAGGUACUCCGGGGAUAACAGGCUGAUACCGCCCAAGAGUUCAUAUCGACGGCGGUGUUUGGCACCUCGAUGUCGGCUCAUCACAUCCUGGGGCUGAAGUAGGUCCCAAGGGUAUGGCUGUUCGCCAUUUAAAGUGGUACGCGAGCUGGGUUUAGAACGUCGUGAGACAGUUCGGUCCCUAUCUGCCGUGGGCGUUGGAAGAUUGAGAGGGGUUGCUCCUAGUACGAGAGGACCGGAGUGAACGCACCACUGGUGUUCGGGUUGUCAUGCCAAUGGCAUUGCCCGGUAGCUAAGUGCGGAAAAGAUAAGCGCUGAAAGCAUCUAAGCGCGAAACUUGCCUCAAGAUGAGUCUUCCCUGGGCCUUCAAGGCCCCUGAAGGAACGUUUAAGACUAA
rnacentral:ncRNA from 1 species